GACGAACGCUGGCGGCGUGCCUAACACAUGCAAGUCGAACGAAGUGGCGAACGGGUGAGCAAUACGGGAGUAAUAUGCCCUCCUUUUUGGGAUAAGCCUUGGAAACGGGGUCUAAUACCGAUUAAAGGGGGAUGGGCACGCGGCCUAUCAGCUUGUUGGUGGGGUGAUGGCCUACCAAGGCGGUGACGGGUGUACGGCCUGAGAGGGUGACAGGCGACAUUGGGACGUGGAUAUGGCCCAGACGCCUACGGGAGUCAGCAUUAGAGGAUAAUGAACGAUAGGCAGUUGCCUCAUGGAUCAGCGCCGCGUGAAGGUUGAGGGCAUUCGAGUUGUAGGCGUCUUUCGAUAACGAACGCGUAAGUAGCAGAGAAGCACCGGCUAACUACGAGCCAGCAGCCGCGGUAAUUC
rnacentral:rRNA from 1 species